GGGCGGGCAGCUCUGCAGCUGUUCCAACUUUCUGCCGCCUUCCCAGGCCACGAAGACUUGGGCUCUGGGCUUGUGCAAACUGGACUGGGGAAUGUGAGAGACCAGAUUCUCGAAACUUCUGCCACAGUGACCAGAUGCGUUCUGUUUGCAUUACGAACAUGUAGCCAAGCUGACUUCACAGAGGAUGAGAAGGACAAUCUAUUUGCUAAAAAAGCAGUGACUCCGACCUCACAAGCUAGAAGACCUGAUGUCUGGGCCCCCAAAACACGAUGGACAGCGCUUAUCCCCCACUGAGAGCGGAUGGGCAGGUGAGGACAGGGACAGUUGGCAGCCUGCCAGCCCUCCUCCUGCCCUGGGCUGUCUACUUUCCUGGCAGGUCACAAGCCAAAGCCCCUCAAGGCAAAUCAAUCCUGGAGGUGUCCAGGUGAGCUUGGGACAGGUAAGGGUACAAGGGCACUUUCCCUUGGGCACAAGUAGGAUUGCAGGGUGGUCCAGAGGAUGACACGGAAGCUGCAGCUGGAAAGCAGUGCCCCCUUGCCACUCCCUUCU
rnacentral:lncRNA from 1 species